CAGGGAGACAACAAAAUGUUUAAUAUUAAUUUUGUCACCUUAGGUCGAUCGGUAUCUCACAUUCUUAAUUUAUUAAGAAUUUUAUUUCCUAAGUUUUUUCUAGGUCACACCCAUUACUUUUCCUGGGCCAUUAGCUCAGGUGGUUAGAGCGCACCCCUGAUAAGGGUGAGGUCCCUGGUUCAAGUCCAGGAUGGCCCAUAUCUCUGUGUUGGGGGUAUAGCUCAGUUGGUAGAGCGCCUGCUUUGCAAGCAGGAUGUCAGCGGUUCGAGUCCGCUUACCUCCACUGAUCACCACCUCUUCCAUGAAUUUAUAGAAAGGAAUUGUUUUGAGUUGUGAUCAAAUUCUGAACGAAUCUAGCUUCCUAAUCAAACAUAUUAAGAUGCUGGACUCAUUGAAUUAAAUUCAUUGUUUUCAGAGAACCUUGACAACUGCAUAGAUUAUUUUUAAAGACAAUAAGCAUCUUUAAUGAUGCAGAUUUAUUAUUUGUGCGAAUGCAUUAAUAACAAUUCUAUUAAGCUGAUGCUUCAAUUUUUGAAGUUAUU
rnacentral:tRNA from 1 species